GACGAACGCUGGCGGCAUGCCUAACACAUGCAAGUCGAACGAGACCUCCGUGCCUUUGGGCGCACGUCGGCUUAACGCGUGGGAAGUUACCCGUGGGUACGCAAUAACUGACCGAGGGGGGUGCUAAGGCCGGUUAAGGUCAUCGCGCCUAAGAGUUAUCGCCGUGGGAUGGGGCCGCGUUGGAUUAGGGGGUUGGUAGGGUACAAGCAUACCAAGGCGACGAUCCAUGGCUGGUCGGAUAGGAUGGUCAUGCACGAUGGGACUGAGACACGGCCCAGACUCCUACGGGAGGCAGCAGUGGGGAAUAUUGUGCACGGGGCGAUAGCGUGAUACAGCAAUGCCGCGUGAGAGAUGAAGGCCUUAGGGUUGUAAAGCUCUUUUACACGGGAUGAUAAUGACAGUACCGGGUGAAUAAGCACCGGCUAACUCCGUG
rnacentral:rRNA from 1 species